UACGAAGGGGGCUAGCGUUGCUCGGAAUCACUGGGCGUAAAGCGCACGUAGGCGGAUUGCUAAGUCAGGGGUGAAAUCCUGGAGCUCAACUCCAGAACUGCCCUUGAUACUGGCGGUCUCGAGUCCGGGAGAGGUGAGUGGAAUUCCCAGUGUAGCGGUGAAAUGCGUAGAUAUUGGGAGGAACACCAGUGGCGAAGGCGGCUCACUGGACUGGUACUGACGCUGAUGCGCGAAAGCGUGGGGAGCAAACAGG
rnacentral:rRNA from 1 species